UACGGAGGGGGCGAGCGUUAUUCGGAAUUAUUGGGCGUAAAGGGCGCGUAGGCGGCUUGACAAGUCAAAGGUGAAAUCCCUCGGCUCAACUGAGGAACUGCCUUUGAAACUGUCUGGCUUGAGUCCGGGAGGGGGUAGCGGAAUUCCCAGUGUAGCGGUGAAAUGCGUAGAUAUUGGGAGGAACACCAGUGGCGAAGGCGGCUACCUGGACCGGAACUGACGCUGAUGCGCGAAAGCGUGGGUAGCAAACAGG
rnacentral:rRNA from 1 species